rnacentral:tRNA from 6 species
GCGGGAAUAGCUCAGCUGGUAGAGCGAUACCUUGCCAAGGUAUAGGUCGCGAGUUCGAGUCUCGUUUCCCGCUCCA